CGGCCAGACUCCUACGGGAGGCAGCAGUGGGGAAUAUUGCACAAUGGGGGGAACCCUGAUGCAGCGACGCCGCGUGGGUGAGGAAGUACUUCGGUAUGUAAAGCCCUAUCAGCAGGGAAGAAAAUGACGGUACCUGACUAAGAAGCCCCGGCUAACUACGUGCCAGCAGCCGCGGUAAUACGUAGGUGGCAAGCGUUGUCCGGAUUUACUGGGUGUAAAGGGAGCGCAGACGGCAGGGCAAGUCUGAUGUGAAAGUCCGGGGCUCAACCCCGGGACUGCAUUGGAAACUGUCCGGCUAGAGUGCAGGAGAGGUAAGUGGAAUUCCUAGUGUAGCGGUGAAAUGCGUAGAUAUUAGGAGGAACACCAGUGGCGAAGGCGGCUUACUGGACUGUAACUGACGUUGAGUCUCGAAAGCGUGGGGAGCAAACGGGAUUAGAUACCCUAGUA
rnacentral:rRNA from 1 species